rnacentral:tRNA from 1 species
UCAAAAUGCAAAUUUGAAGAAGCACCCUCAAAGGUGCCGGGGCUUCUCCCGUUU